UGGAUCAUUAUCGUUGAUAAUGUUUUUUGUUUUUAAGAUUUUCUUUCAAUACAUUGGUUUUAAAAUUCAGAAUCCAAACAUACACCCGUAGGGAGAGGAAUGGAAUACGUUUCUGAGGUUUCACGUGGAGCACAAAAGCCUUUGAGGAGUUUCCCCCUCUCGGGACUUUCGUUAGGAACUUGCGUUCCAGAGGUUUUGGAGUGGUAAUGAUCCUUCCGCAGGUUCACCUACGGAAA
rnacentral:misc_RNA from 1 species